rnacentral:lncRNA from 1 species
ACAGGAUCAUGGUUCCAAAGCUGCUGGGCUCCCGACUUUGGCUCCUGCUGCUGCUGGGGUUCAUGGGAAUAAUUGUCUCAUCUCAGGCCCCACCAGGUCAUUUAACCUGGGCUCAGUGGUUUGAAAUCCAGCACUUAAUUAUGGCCCACCCCCGAUGUGAUGAUGCAAUGCGGGUAGUUAACGGAUACACAGGGCGAUGCAAAUCCAAAAAUACAUUUCUACAUACAAGUUUUGCCGCUGUUGCUCAAGUUUGUAGAACCCCAAAUAUAACCUGUCGUAAUGUCACCAGAACAAAUUGUCAUAACAGUUCAGUUCAGGUGCCCUUAGUUAACUGUGAUAUCAUCAAAAGAACAAAGAAUUAUAACAACUGCACAUAUCGAAAUGUAGCAGCAACCAAGUUCUAUGUAGUUGCUUGUGAAAUGAAAUCUCCACAGGACAGCACCCCGUAUCUACUUGUUCCGGUUCACUUGGAUGGGAUAUAUUAGCUCCUGGAUCAGCACUUUGUGGCAUGGCUCAUCUACCAGCUCUCAAGCCCUCUGUCAACCCUGGAUACCAGCUCCUGUUCUCAUGCAACCAGUCCCCAGCCCCUUUCAAGCUUUGCUGAGCUGAAGCACCCUGUGAGCUGUGCAAUAAACCUCUUUGCAGACAAUCUAGAUCU